GGCAUAGCCAAUUUUAGGCAUGAGGUAUAUACCUAUUUGAUGGACUGUACAAUAUUCAUUUCUUUUGUUUCCAUGAGCUUAAAUAUAUGGCUCUAUCGCUUAUGAUUAAGGUGAAGUGCAAUAUUAGUAUUAUAAAGUACAUAAAGGCUAAAGGGCUUCUAGCAACGAAACAAAACAUCUCUAAGCCCAAUAAGACUAGAUAUCCCACUUGAAAUAUCUAAUACUUGCCCACUU
rnacentral:lncRNA from 1 species